rnacentral:misc_RNA from 1 species
GAUGAAGAACGUAGCGAAAUGCGAUAACUAAUGUGAAUUGCAGAAUUCAGUGAAUCAUCGAGUCUUUGAACGCACAUUGCGCCCUUUGGUAUUCCAAAGGGCAUGCCUGUUCGAGCGUCAUUUGUACCCUCAAGCUUUGCUUGGUGUUGGGCGUCUUGUCUCUAGCUUUGCUGGAGACUCGCCUUAAAGUAAUUGGCAGCCGGCCUACUGGUUUCGGAGCGCAGCACAAGUCGCACUCUCUAUCAGCAAAGGUCUAGCAUCCAUUAAGCCUUUUUUUCAACUUUUGACCUCGGAUCAGGUAGGGAUACCCGCUGAACUUAAGCAUAUCAAUAAGCGGAGGA